UGUAAAAUAAGCUAAAAUAAGCUAUUGGGUUCAUACCCCAAAAAUGAAUGAAUAUUCUUUUACAG
rnacentral:tRNA from 1 species